CUCAAAGGCUCAAAUCUGUUGGUUAAAGUGAUAGCUGUCUCUUCAGGCGUCCUUGAGGCUUGAGCUUGGCGUGCAGCUGCAGAGUCCUCUAAGUAACUUUGUUUUAGUAAGAUAGAUUCACCUACUGGCUUUGGAGAUGUUUUCUUUCUUUUACAAUCCUUCUUAUCAUCUUGAGAACCCUGAACAGUUGACUUUCACAAUUUUAAGGGAUCGGGAGACCAGGAGCGGACCAGUGGCAGCUUCACCCCCUAAAGACUCUAUCAUAUCUAACUCUUUAAUAAAUUGGCUCUAUCUUUGUGAUUUUCCAUGUAACUUAUUAUGUAUCCUUCAAGGGGAUGUUGGUAAUUGAUCCCAUGCCCAACCAAUCCUCAGCCAUCAUUUUCCUCCCCUGGAGGUGGUGAUGUCAGCAGAGCUCCCAGCCAAUCUGGGUGCGUAUCCUGACCAGCCCCUAUUUCAGUCAAUCAGAGGCUCCUGCCUCUGAUUAGCUGAAGGUUUGAAUAGCUGUCAAACUGUAUAAGAUAUCUUGCUUUCCUCUGUAUAUUAUGCUUGUACCUUUGAAGCAUCUUGUUUGUACUUGCAUCCCUUUUGGCUGAAUCAUAUUAAACAUCUGUAUCUUGUC
rnacentral:lncRNA from 11 species